GAAUUUCCAUUCAAUGGAUGCACUAGAUCUAUAAGUGUACAAAAACUCAAUGGAAGCUAAGUGGGCGUGCAUCCAACUUGCUUGCUCAUGAAGACAUCGAGUAUUUGAGGAAGCUCGUCAUCGAAAUAUACAAGCCAAUUUUUAUAAUGAAAAUUUCCCACUAGCAUAUGAAAAUGACAACUCAUGAGACUGUCUAUAUGAAGAACAUGCUGCUCCCUCUAAGCACAAGUGUGGUAAAAGAAGUAGUAGCACUGCCCCUUCUCUCAUUUUCUCUCAUUUAUUUCCUUUUUUCCCGUCUAGAGUCUCAUCAUCACUUGUGGGGGAAUCAUUGUCUCCAUCAUCCUUUCCUCAUUGGGAUAGUGCUCUAAUAAUGAUGAUCAUCAUACUUUUAUCCACUUACAAAUCAAUAUAACAACUCAAUGAUGGUAAAAUAAAUGACAAUAUAUGAAUGCCUCUGGCAGUAAUCCAGGAUGUGCAAUGAUCUAGCGUAACAUGUAAAUACCGAUGAACGGUUGGUUUGCCACGAAUACUAUGUCAGCUACAUGAUCAUGCAAAGCAAUAUGAUGAUGAACACACAAGUCAUGUGAUGAAAUGGUGGAAGUUGCAUGACAAUAUAACUCGGAAUACCUACGAAAAUACCUUAAUAGGUAGGUAUGGUGGUUGUGUUCAGGAAUAUAUAAGGUGGAUUAUGUGUGAUAGAGCGUAUUAUAUCAUAGGGUUUGGAUGCAUCGACGAAGGUUGCACCGAUCCUCGAGGUGAGAAUGGGGAAUGCAAGGUAUCGAAGAGGCUAUCAAAUAUGGAAAGGUAAGUGUGCGUACAUCCAUGGAUUCACAUUAUUCAUAACAAACUCGUAUUGCAAAGCCUUAUUAGCUCUCUAGAAGCAAAGUACUACCGCAUGCCCCUAGGGGGGAGGUUGGUAGGAGUUCACCAUCACGCGCCCCUGACCUGAACAACACUAGAUUUCAGCGAGGAAUAAGAAUGCUCACACAUCACCACCAUGCCAUAACAAAUAUUUAGAUUAAUAACAAGUAACCCAUUUUUAUUAUUUAUAUUUCCACAAACCAACAAUCAUGUACUCUCAUGGCCUUUCAUAUUACUACAACAAUAUCAUUAACCCACAAUUUCUCUUUUUUGUGCUACAUGAAAGGUUUUAUUAUAUCUCUUUGAAUACCGAUCAUUUUUGAAAUAGUAUUAUAACCCAUGCAAAUUAUUGUUACUCCCUAUUACACUCUCAAACAAAUAUAAGUGAAGAACAAGAGUGCAAUUAUUUCUAUAAAAUCUAGACGCCACUGUGCUCUAAAAGAUAUAAGUGAAGCACUAGAGCAAUUGCUUAGCUCAAAAGAUAUAAGUGAAAAACAUUGAGUAUUGUAACAAAUCAAGAUGAACAUGUGUCUCUCUUAAAUAGGUAUGUCCAGCAAACGAUGAUUGUGGAAAACUAAAACAAAAGCAAACUAUAAUACAAGAGGCUCCAAGAAAAACACAUAUCAUGUGAUGAAUAAAAAUAUAGCUCCACGUGACAUACCAAUGUAAUGGAGACAAAAAAGGGAUUCCUUGGGAAUCCCCAAGCUUACGUUCUUGCCACUCCUUAUUUCUUCAUCCAUCGUAAUCGCACCCAAAACUUGAAAACUUCAUCACACAAAACUCAAGAUAAACCUCGUGAGAUCCAUUAGUAUAAUAGGCAAAUCAUCAACUUUAGGUACUUUAAUGAAUUGGUUCAUAUUUAAUUAUUGCAUAAGGUAAUAUAUUCUAACUUCUUCGUGACUUAUACC
rnacentral:lncRNA from 1 species